GAUGAAGUAGUUUAUUUAAAAAUGUAAGAUUGUCGAUCUUAGGAAGUCAUUGGACCUUUGUCU
rnacentral:tRNA from 1 species